UUAGGUGCUCACAAAUAUACUAAAAUUGGAAUAAUACAGAGAAGAUUAGCGUGGCCCCUGUGCAAGGAUGGCACACAAAUUUGUAAAGCAUUCCAUAUUAAA
rfam:Myotis davidii contig132031, whole genome shotgun sequence.